CAGAAGAAAAAAUGGCAUAUUCGUACAGGUGGAAGCUAAGGGUUCCCAUGCUGAGACGAAAAGAUAAAAUAUUUAAUUUCCAACUUGUUCUUCCAUUCAAAUCUAGAAGGUUUAUUUCCGGAAGAUUUGGAUAUUCCUCAAUGAACGAGGAUAAAAAACUGUUUGAGCGAGCAAUGAGCUUCAUCAGAAAGCGUAAAUACGAAGAGCUGUAAACUUUUGAAGACUUGUUAAAAUUCAUUAAAUUGGAUUAAUAACAGGCUUAGUGUAUAGUACUCGCAUCAGAUACUAAAGUUAAGUGAUAUCAGCUUAAUAAUACAUCCAGAAAAUACAACCCACCGAUCCUCAUUCUGUCAGACGAUCCUGUACACUGCCAGACGAUCAUUGUAAGUGUACAGUUUGUAUUGUACAUUCUAUACUAUGUACACUGUACAAUCAGUGCACGUGAAACAGGGUUUCCAAAUAAGCAAAGGAAUAAUUUGACGACUUACAAUUCGUAUUUCUUAUAUGAGAACAAUUCUGCAAUUAUUCACUUUUGACAGUUAGAAUCUAACAAAUGUUAUUAUUAGAUUUUCAAAAUGUGCUCUGCAAUAUCUGUACCUU